rnacentral:rRNA from 1 species
CCUACGGGGCGCAGCAGUGGGGAAUAUUGGACAAUGGGGGCAACCCUGAUCCAGCCAUGCCGCGUGUGUGAAGAAGGCCCUCGGGUUGUAAAGCACUUUCAGUGAGGAAGAACGCCUGGUGGUUAAUACCCAUCAGGAAAGACAUCACUCACAGAAGAAGCACCGGCUAACUCCGUGCCAGCAGCCGCGGUAAUACGGAGGGUGCGAGCGUUAAUCGGAAUUACUGGGCGUAAAGCGCGCGUAGGUGGCUUGAUAAGCCGGUUGUGAAAGCCCCGGGCUCAACCUGGGAACGGCAUCCGGAACUGUCAAGCUAGAGUGCAGGAGAGGAAGGUAGAAUUCCCGGUGUAGCGGUGAAAUGCGUAGAGAUCGGGAGGAAUACCAGUGGCGAAGGCGGCCUUCUGGACUGACACUGACACUGAGGUGCGAAAGCGUGGGUAGCAAACAGGAUUAGAUACCCGUGUAGUC